GUACACUCCUACGGGAGGCAGCAGUGGGGAAUAUUGGACAAUGGGCGCAAGCCUGAUCCAGCCAUGCCGCGUGAGUGAUGAAGGCCCUAGGGUUGUAAAGCUCUUUCACCGGUGAAGAUAAUGACGGUAACCGGAGAAGAAGCCCCGGCUAACUUCGUGCCAGCAGCCGCGGUAAUACGAAGGGGGCUAGCGUUGUUCGGAUUUACUGGGCGUAAAGCGCACGUAGGCGGACUAUUAAGUCAGGGGUGAAAUCCCGGGGCUCAACCCCGGAACUGCCUUUGAUACUGGUAGUCUUGAGUUCGAGAGAGGUGAGUGGAAUUCCGAGUGUAGAGGUGUAAUUCGUAGAUAUUCGGAGGAACACCAGUGGCGAAGGCGGCUCACUGGGUCGAUACUGACGCUGAGGUGCGAAAGCGUGGGGAGCAAACAGGAGUAGAUACCCGUGUAGUCCCAU
rnacentral:rRNA from 1 species